UUGGAUUACAUCUGUCAAAACAUUCGAUUGCUUGUCUUUGCGACCUUGUUUUCUCAUGUUUUAUCGAGGUACACACUUGCCUGACACUUUCUGUUCAGUGUGGACGAUACCAGUUGAAACACAGCUGAAGAAGACAUUGAGCUUUGCUGUUCUAAUCGUCUUCCAAGAGAGAUCAAAUAACAAGACUCCUUGGAACUAAAGAAUGGAACUUCAUCAAGAUGAGAACAAGGCCCAAUCUGAUAACUUCGAGCUGGCGCAGAGCAGUGAGUGUAAACAGCGGAGUGUCCCUGAAGAGCUACUGUCUGAACUGCAGUAAGAGAUUAAUCUCUGUGGUGUCAGAAGGCCUCUUCGAUAUGAAAAGAUCUAUAGAGCUUACCAACAUCUAUUAGGAGGAGCUGAAAUUACAAGCUGUCAUAUGCUAAAGUUCAUGGAAACAAGUUCACGACUUUUGACUGUAGUGAGGGUGGAAUUAUUUUUUGAAGUUUGCCUGUUGAGUAUUUAUCUAUAUGGUGCCACAAUAUAUACAACACAUAGUAAAGCAAAUCAUACAGAAUGAGAUGCUUAAAGGGGAAAUAUUUUCUGUGUUUCAAAAUCUACCUAGUGGAUUGCUGUUAGAGUUUGUCUCCUUAAGUUGCCACCGAGGGAAGAAAACACUUUUUAAACGAUAAAAAUAAGAUUGAAGCAGUUGGUGAAAUGAUGCAAAAAUACAAACACUAAUUGAA